rnacentral:rRNA from 1 species
GACGAACGCUGGCGGCGUGCUUAACACAUGCAAGUCGAACGGAAAGGCCCUGCUUUUGUGGGGUGCUCGAGUGGCGAACGGGUGAGUAACACGUGAGUAACCUGCCCUUGACUUUGGGAUAACUUCAGGAAACUGGGGCUAAUACCGGAUAGGAGCUCCUGCUGCAUGGGGGGGGUUGGAAAGUUUCGGCGGUUGGGGAUGGACUCGCGGCUUAUCAGCUUGUUGGUGGGGUAGUGGCUUACCAAGGCUUUGACGGGUAGCCGGCCUGAGAGGGUGACCGGCCACAUUGGGACUGGGAUACGGCCCAGACUCCUACGGGAGGCAGCAGUGAGGGAUAUUGCACGAUGGGCGGAAGCCUGAUGCAGCAACGCCGCGUGCGGGAUGACUGCCUUCGGGUUGUAAACCGCUUUCGCCUGUGACGAAGCGUGAGUGACGGUAAUGGGUAAAGAAGCACCGGCUAACUACGUG